CAGUUUUAAGCCUUGCCGCUGGCGUGGUUAACUCCGACGCUGCUUUCUGUCAAAUUCUUCUUCGACUAAGCGUCCCUAAAAGUUGAAAUGUGUACAAGAGUCAAAAAGAAGUUGGAGGCGUCCUUUUUCUUCCAAAACAUGACUGCUGACGAGCUCGUAUGAGGUAGUCACGACGAGGUACUGCGCAUGCGUCACGGCAAUGGCUGCUUGAAAGGCGCCGCUCUCUUCCGUGCAAAAACCGCAAACACGAAGCGCCUCCUGGGAGGAGGAGGAGGGCCAUGAGGUGGCGACCUGUCCAGGGUGUACGCUGCCUUCCGGUCGAGUGCAGCUGGGAUAGGCUCUAGCACCCCUGCGACCCCGAGAGGGACAAGCGGUAGAAAAUGGAUGGUCCAGUCUCCACCAGCAGUGAAGGAAAAAUGGGGCUUGGAAGAUGACGUCACAAUCAGCCGUCUCUGACUCAUCACCGGUCAUGCAUCACCUGCCAGAACUCCACCUAAUGGCCACUUGAAGCAGUGUUCCUCCCAGGUAAUGUAGUUGCAGUAUCAUAUUGAGCCCCCUAAAUACUUCCACAGUGCAGUAAGUGUACACACACACACACACACACACACACACACACACACACACACACACACACACAGCUUUAACAAACUCGGAGUCUAAGCCUGAAGUCUGAGCUGAUUUACCUUAAGAUGGCAAACUGUUGAGUGUUGGGUUCCAGAAAAGCUGAUCUGGGUUCAAUCAAUCCUAAAUAUGUUGACUCUGAGUUAAAGGGGAACUGUGCUUUGUUUGAAACUUUGUCUAUCGUUCACAAUUAUUUUGUGAAACAAGCACACAUCCAUCCAUCCAUUUUCUACCGCUUGUCCCUUUCGAGGUUGCGCGGGGGUGCUGGAACUUAUCUCAGCUGCAUUCAUGCAUUCUUUUUUUUUUUAAUGCAUUCUAACUCAAGCAAAAGUCAGUUAAAAGUGGAGGUAAUGAGAGUUGCUAUAUUCUGCCAAUAAAGUGCUCUAAAAAACAUGCCAAAACCUCCAUCAACAUUUUAUACACACACUGUAAGUAUAUAUGUAAUAAAGUAACAGGCACAUUUAUAACAACAUUUAAUAAUGACAUAUCUUUCUCAUUUUAAGCAUAUUAAUUUAACAGGCACAUCACAACAUUCGCUUGCUAAUCAUAGCAGACUUCAUGAGAGCCAAGGACUACUACUUUGAGACAAAUAGUGAUUCAAAAACCUUAGAUUUUUAAGCUUGAAUAUAAUGAGGAUGCUCUACAAGUUUCAGAACCCAUUUGAUAAACAGAUCCAGCUUAAAUAUAAUACUAAGCUAGGGGUGUUCAAAUUUUUUCCACUGAGGGCCGCAUUGAAAAAUUAAAGCAUGCGGGGGGGUGGAAUUUUGAUAUUUUGUAUUUUCAAAACCAAUACAAUAUUUUUUUUUAACCUUAAGGGCUCCUUCCAAGUUUGGUCCCGGCAACCCGCAAGGUUCUCAGUCAUUAAUUUUUUUUUUUAAAUAAGUCAUUUAAUACACACAUAAAACAACAACUUCAAGUCUGUCGAUAUAGAGUAAAACAUGUUUUUAUGUUUUAUGCCCUAUUUGUCAAAGUAAAUCUAAUUUUUUAUGGCAAAAACACUGACUGUGCAACCCCCCCAAAUAAUUACAAAAUGGAAUAUAAUGAUGAGUAGUAAUUGGAGACUGAAAUAGGUCAAUAAUUCAUAACAACAUUGAUUCAUUGUUAUUUUUGAGCAAUGACAGUUAAAAAAAAUCCCACUAAAAUUCUUGGGGAUCCAAAGGGGCCCGACUCAUUCUACUUGUUUUUUUUAGUAGUAUUUUUAAGAAUUUGCUGCGGGCCGCUAAAAAAUUAGCUGCGGACCGUGUCCAAAGUGUGGCACCAUGCAGCAGUAAUGUUAAGUGCUAAACAAGAAAUACAAACAUCAACAUAAUAUAACAAUCACUUACUGUCAUAGGCGCCGAUCUACAUUUCUGCCAGUGGGUGCUCGGACGGGCGGUAAAUCUGACGCUAGUUUUCUGAGCAUGCAGGGUUUUUGCUUGGUGGUGAGAAAUAAUUUGCCAUCAAUCCCACAUAGGUGCUCGGCAUUGUCACCGGCGCCUAUGCUUACUGGACAAUGUCUGCUCUCACUGGGAUGCCGACUAAUGAGAUGUUUACAUCAUCCAGUUUAUAUGAAGAAUUAUUCAUAAUCCACCCGGAGGCUAAAAAAAAAAAAUGUUCCUUUACAUUAGCUCUUAAAAUAACAACAUGGCUAAUACUUGUUUAAAUCUUUGGUCACAAGAUGUAAAUAAAGGAUUGUUGGUGGUUUUUUGGAUGUUUUUACAGGGUUUUAUGGAUGUAAUAGAGUACUCGCUACAUUUUUAGUCACCUCGUACUUGCCAUAUUUUACGACUUAAAAUACUUAAAAAAAAGAAAAACAUAUGUAUUCUUGCCUUACAUAAGAACUGAAUAUUUUGAUAGGCCAACUUCUAAAAAACGUGCAGUUUCUCUUUAAGACCACAAUAAAAUGAAUAGCUAUAAUCAAUGGAGCAUCGAUACUACGAUUCACCAUACCAACUGGGGAUUGAGAUAUGUGUCUUUCUUUCCCCGGUUGGAACUGAAAGUGUUAAUGUGGGUUUAUGGUAAGUAUUUCCUUUUUUUAUUAUAAGGAAAAUCAAUACAGUAAAAUAAUAUUGGACUGAAGUGAGAAACAAUUACUGCCCAAGCCAAUGUGCAAGUUUGAUUGCAAUAGUUGUGAGUUGUAAGUAAGUGAAGGAUUGACACGGAAUACAAUCCUUUUUUUAUUGUGAUCUUUGCACCAGGUGAACCAUUGAUGCAUUUGAAUUUUUUUCGAUUACUGAAAUUAAUAUGGUAUUGCUCAUUAAGAUUAUAAUAAUAAAAAGAGGGGAAUAAUUUACCUUGACACACAUAUUUUUUUCUUUGGAGUCUUUUUUUCCUUGUACUAUCUAUCCUCCAUGAAAAUGUACUCUAUAUCAGUUGUCCCCAUCCACCGGUCCGUGACACAUUUGCUACCGGGCCGCACAGAGACAUUAGGCCGAGUGCAGCUGGGCUAGGGUCCAGCCCCCCCGUGAUCCCGAAAGGGAUAAGCGGUAGGAAAAUAGAUGGAUGUAACAAGCAGACCAGCCAGUAAACCACACCCUCAUUCUCUUCCGCUUUCCUCAUAGACAGGGGCAAGAACGAGGGUGGGCACGAGACCCAGAAGCCUCAUGUUAGCAACCCGUGGCUCCAGAGCCGCUUACGGCUUUUUAGCGCAGCCCUAUGGCUCCCUGGAGCAUUUAAAAAAAUGUAUGAAAAUAGAAAAAAAUAUUUUGUGUUUUAAUAUGGUUUCUGUAGAAGGACAAGCAUGACCCAAACCUUCCUUAUUGUUAGAAAUCCCACUUUUUAUAUUAAACAUGCUUCACUGAUGGGAGUAUCUGGCGAGCGCUGUUUUGUCCUACUAAUUUCGGCAGUUCCUUAAACUCACUGUAGUUUGUUUACAUGUACAACUUCCUCCUACGCUGCCACAGAAAGACGUGCUUUAUGCCACUCCUUCUUUGUCUCAUUUUGUCCACCAAACGUUCUAUGCUGUGAAUGCACAAAGGUGAGCUUUGUUGAUUUUUUGGACUUGUUGCAGUGCUAAUCAGGCAAAUUUGGUCAGUGCAUGACAUUUAGGCUAGCUGUAUGUGCAUAUUGCAUCAUUAUGCCUCGUAUAUGAGCUCAUUUCAUUUCCUUUACUUACGUCCUCUACAUGGUGUGUUUAAUUUAUAUGUGAAUUUCUCAUGACACAUUAUCUGUAUGUAAUAUUGGCUGCAUUUCUGAUAGUUAACAUGAUGUUGUUCCAGACCACAGCAAACAUUACCCAGCUUGAAAAGAUUGUAAUAAAUCCAAUGCAAUACUUUUUCAUAACAUGGUCACUACUGCCUAGUUUCUCUUGUUAUAUUCUUAUUUUAGUGUUAUAUUUUUAUUCUCAUUGUUGCUUUUUAUUUUUAUUCUUAUUGUAAUAUUUUUCUAUUUUGUUUCGAUUUAUACUCCCAAUAUUUACUUUUUACUUUUUAAAUUCGAUCUCAAUUCUGUACACUGCUGCUGGAAUUUUAAUUUUCCUGAGGGAACUCUCCUGAAGGAAUCAAUAAAGUACUAUCUAUCUAUCUAUCUAUCUAUCUAUUAGAAGAAGACAGCCAGCCGUUUCCUUUACCUACUUUAUACCUUUGGCCAUUCUAAACCAAUCAUUUCCAGGAGUUAUCUCUCCCUCGGGAAAGCUUCUGUUUUACUAAUGUUUUCCAAUGUUGUAAAAAUGUGUUGAAUAAAUAUUACAAGUCAACAUUUCAUUCAACAAAGAUUUGUGUCAGAUUGGCUAAUUUGGCUAAUAUAGAA